rnacentral:rRNA from 1 species
UACGGAGGAUCCAAGCGUUAUCCGGAUUCAUUGGGUUUAAAGGGUGCGUAGGCGGAAUGAUAAGUCAGUGGUGAAAGCCUGCAGCUUAACUGCAGAACUGCCAUUGAUACUGUCAAUCUUGAGUACAUUUGAUGUGGGCGGAAUGUGUCAUGUAGCGGUGAAAUGCUUAGAUAUGACGCAGAACACCGAUUGCGAAGGCAGCUCACAAAACUGUAACUGACGCUGAGGCACG